rnacentral:rRNA from 1 species
UACGAAGGGGGCUAGCGUUGCUCGGAAUCACUGGGCGUAAAGGGUGCGUAGGCGGGUUUUAAGUCAGAGGUGAAAUCCUGGAGCUCAACUCCAGAACUGCCUUUGAUACUGAAAGUCUUGAGUAUGGGAGAGGUGAGUGGAACUCCGAGUGUAGAGGUGAAAUUCGUAGAUAUUAGGAAGAACACCGGUGGCGAAGGCGGCCCACUGGCUCGACACUGACGCUGAGGUGCGAAAAGCGUGGGGAGCAAACAGG